AUUGAACGCUGGCGGCAGGCCUAACACAUGCAAGUCGAACGAGUGGCGGACGGGUUAGUAAUGUCUGUGCAACUGCCCGAUGGAGGGGGAUCACUACUGGACACGGUAGCUACUACCGCAUUCCAUCGGCUGUGCCCAGAUGGGCUUAGCUAGUGGGUGGGGUAACGGCUCACCUAGGCGACGAUCCCUACCUGGUCUGAGAGGAUGACCAGCAACACUGGAACUGAGACACGGUCCAGACUCCUACGGGAGGCAGCAGUGGGGAAUAUUGGACAAUGGGCGAAAGCCUGAUGCAGCCAUGCCGCGUGUAUGAAGAAGGCCUUCGGGUUGUAAAGUACUUUCAGCGAGGAGGCGUUACUCGCAGAAGAAGCACCGGCUAACUCCGUGCCAGCAGCCGCGGUAAUUC
rnacentral:rRNA from 1 species